CCAAUAGCGUAUAUUAAAGUUGUUGCAGUUAAAAAGCUCGUAGUUGAAUUUCGGGAUUAAUAUGCUGGUCGUGCCAUUGGUACGUACUAGUAUUAUUGAUUUCUCCCUCCUGAUGAAUCAUGAUGUCAUUAAUUUGAUGUCAUGGGGAAUCAGGACUGUUACUUUGAAAAAAUUAGAGUGUUUAAAGCAGGCUCGCGCUU
rnacentral:rRNA from 1 species